CGUCCAGAGUAAAUAGGCACCAUGUAGUUGCCUGGCAGGUUUUCUGUCUCCUCUCCUGGCAGAAGGUUCCGCUUGGCUCUCUUUGGUUGGGGGCUCAACUUGGCUGAAUAAUCUUCUAAUAGCAAGCUGGAAUCUUCCUGCGGUGGCAGAGACAGAGGAUCCGUAAACUCACUGGCCAGUCAGCCUAAACCAAUUGGCAAGCUCCUGACCAAUGAGGCACUCUUUCCCCAAAGAACCAAGAUGGAGAGCACCUGAGAGCAACACUGGAGACUGACCUCUAGCCUCAACUUGCAUCCACAUCUGUGCACUCCUACACACACACACACCACUGCAGAAGCGGGAGUCCCACUACUGAGUAACCAAUCUGUACCACAGCCACACCGACUCCAAGCAAGACUCACUGACUCCAAGCAAACCACCUUGACUCCAAGCAAGACUCCCUGAGCCAACAUAAGCUCCUUCUGAGUACCCCAAGGCAGAGUGUGACCUAUGAAAGUGAGACGGCAAAGGGAUCGUGUUCCAUUCCACGUGGAAUUUCAGAGUGCUGCCAUCGCGCAUUCCAGGAUUUGGGCAUAUUCUGAAGACCAGAUGAGACAUCCAGCCUUGUUGACUGAACAACUACUGGAUUCUUGGAUGUUCCAUUGGUAGACAGCCAUUGUUGGACUAUCUGGACCACAGCCUAAAUAACACCACAGUGGAUGACUCAAGUGAGACUCUCCAGUGAGACUCAGAACUCCAUGAAUUUCAAACAGACAAUAAAAGGGGAAAGGUACGACACAGUGCUGGGGUCUCCCUCCACACCUGGAAUAACAGGGUUAUCAUAUUUAAGACAGGAGAUAUGACUUUUAAGAGCAUGUGCCCGAGAUUGGAGGCUGCUCCUGACUUACCCGUGGGAAUAGCCAUAAUCAUAAGCUGAGGCUGUCUUCCGGCUGACGUCAGUCCCUCGAGAGAACUGGGACGCUCCAAGACUGUAGGCCUGAGCAGCCUGCUCCUGGGAGGAGACCGCUGACACUUGACUAAGAGCCUCUGACUCCCGGCGGUGUGCGGUGGAAGAGCGGCUGCUGUAGGCGGUGGAGCCAUGGGUGUAGAUGGCCGAGCGCUUCUUCUCCUGCUGGUAAUGGCUCAUGGUGGUGCGAAGGUCCUUGUUCCGGUAACUGAGGUCAUAGUGCUGGUGGGACUUCUGAUAAAAAGGCAAAGCCAUCAUGUGCCCUUGAGAGGAGGGGGCAACCUGCAAGAGAACAGUUCUUUUUUUUUAAUAUUUAUUUAUUUAUUAUUUAUUUAUUUAUUAUGUAUACAAUAUUCUGUGUGUAUGCCUGCAGGCCAGAAGAGGGCACCAGACCUCAUUACAGAUGAUUGUGAGCCACCAUGUGGUUGCUGGGAAUUGAACUCAGGACCUUUGGAAGAGCAGGCAAUGCUCUUAACCUCUGAGCCAUCUCUCUAGCCCAAGAGAACAGUUCUUGAUUGAACAAUCCCCAAGGACAAUUCAUCUCGGCCAGUGUAGGAAAAUGCGGAUUGCAAUGGUUCUGAGAAGUGAACAGGAAAGACCGUAAGUUCAGCUUAGCUGGACACUCACAAACCCCU